rnacentral:rRNA from 1 species
UGAAAUCUCACCAGGCCCGGACACCGCGAGGAUUGACAGACUGAGAGCUCUUUCUCGAUUCGGUGGGUGGUGGUGCAUGGCCGUUCUUAGUUGGUGGAGCGAUCUGUCUGGUUAAUUCCGAUAACGAACGAGACCCCAACCUGCUAACUAGCCCUCGGGUCCUGCUUCUGUUGGGCCCGACGGAAUGAUUCGCUUCUUAGAGGGACUCGCGGCGCCUAGCCGCACGAAGGGGGGCGAUAA